AUUGAACGCUGGCGGUAUGCUUAACACAUGCAAGUCGAACGAUGAGAAAGAGCUUGCUCUUUCGAUUAGUGGCGGACGGGUGCGUAACGCGUAGGAAUCUACCUAUUAGUGGGGGACAACUUAGGGAAACUUAAGCUAAUACCGCAUACGCCCUACGGGGGAAAGAAGGGGAUCGCAAGACCUUUUGCUAAUAGAUGAGCCUGCGUAGGAUUAGCUAGUUGGUGGGGUAAAAGCUCACCAAGGCGACGAUCCUUAACUGGUUUGAGAGAAUGAUCAGUCACACUGGAACUGAGACACGGUCCAGAAUCCUACGGGAGGCAGCAGUGGGGAAUAUUGGACAAUGGGCGAGAGCCUGAUCCAGCAAUACCGCGUGUGUGAAGAAGGCCUUAGGGUUGUAAAGCACUUUCAAUUGGAAGGAAAACCUCGAAGCUAAUACCUUCGAGUUUGACAUUACCUUUAGAAGAAGCACCGGCUAACUCCGUGCCAGCAGCCGCGGUAA
rnacentral:rRNA from 1 species